GAUGAAGAACGCAGCGAAAUGCGAUAAGUAAUGUGAAUUGCAGAAUUCAGUGAAUCAUCGAAUCUUUGAACGCACAUUGCGCCCGCCAGCAUUCUGGCGGGCAUGCCUGUUCGAGCGUCAUUUCAACCCUCGAGCCCCCCCGGGGGCCUCGGUGUUGGGGGACGGCACACCAGCCGCCCCCGAAAUGCAGUGGCGACCCCGCCGCAGCCUCCCCUGCGUAGUAGCACACACCUCGCACCGGAGCGCGGAGGCGGUCACGCCGUAAAACGCCCAACUUUCUUAGAGUUGACCUCUGAUCAGGUAGGAAUACCCGCUGAACUUAAGCAUAUCAAUAAGCGGAGGA
rnacentral:misc_RNA from 1 species